rfam:Loxodonta africana unplaced genomic scaffold scaffold_4, whole genome shotgun sequence.
GCCCUGGUGGCACAAUGGUUAAGUGCUUGGCUGUUAACCAAAAGGUUGGCAGUUCGAACCCACCCAGUGGCU